rnacentral:misc_RNA from 1 species
AGAUGAAGAACGUAGCGAAAUGCGAUAAGUAAUGUGAAUUGCAGAAUUCAGUGAAUCAUCGAAUCUUUGAACGCACAUUGCGCCCGCGAGUAUUCUCGCGGGCAUGCCUGUCCGAGCGUCAUUUCAACCCUCAGGGCCCGCCUGCUUGCAGGCGCGGCGCUGGUGUUGGGGAUCGGCUACCCUGCCGUCCCCCAAAUACAGUGGCGGUCUCGCUGCAGCCUCCCCUGCGUAGUAGCAACACUCGCAUGCGGAGCGCGGCGCGGCCACGCCGUAAAACCCCCGACUUUCUGAACGUUGACCUCGGAUCAGGUAGGAAUACCCGCUGAACUUAAGCAUAUCAAUAAGCGGGGA